GAUGAAGAACGUAGCGAAAUGCGAUACUUGGUGUGAAUUGCAGAAUCCCGUGAACCAUCGAGUCUUUGAACGCAAGUUGCGCCCGAAGCCACUAGGCCGAGGGCACGCCUGCCUGGGCGUCACACGUCGUUGCCCCCCCCCCAUCUACUCCUUCGGGAUUGCGGGGGGCGGAUGAUGGCCUCCCGUGCGCCUAGCCGCGCGGUUGGCAUAAAUACCAAGUCCUCGGCGACGCACGCCACGACAAUCGGUGGUUGCGAAACCUCGGUUGCCCGUCGUGUGCGUUCGUCGCGCAUCGAGGGCUCGAAAAAAUGCUCGGCUCCGGCUCGGCUUUCAACGCGACCCCAGGUCAGGCGGGGUUAUCCGCUGAAUUUAAGCAUAUCAAUAAGCGGAGGA
rnacentral:misc_RNA from 1 species